rnacentral:snRNA from 1 species
GAAUCAUUUUGGAGACAUCCGAUAAAUUGGAACGAUAAAGAGAAGAUUAGCAUGGCCCCUGCACAAGGAUGACAUGACAAAUUGAGAAAUAGUCCAAAUUGUU